UGGGGAAUAUUGCACAAUGGGCGCAAGCCUGAUGCAGCCAUGCCGCGUGUGUGAAGAAGGCCUUCGGGUUGUAAAGCACUUUCAGCGAGGAGGAAGGUGGUGAGCUUAAUACGCUCAUCAAUUGACGUUACUCGCAGAAGAAGCACCGGCUAACUCCGUGCCAGCAGCCGCGGUAAUACGGAGGGUGCAAGCGUUAAUCGGAAUUACUGGGCGUAAAGCGCACGCAGGCGGUUUGUUAAGUCAGAUGUGAAAAUCCCCGGGCUCAACCUGGGAACUGCAUUUGAAAACUGGCAAGCUAGAGUCUCGUAGAGGGGGGUAGAAAUUCCAGGUGUAGCGGUGAAAUGCGUAGAGAUCUGGAGGAAUACCGGUGGCGAAGGCGGCCCCCUGGACGAAGACUGACGCUCAGGUGCGAAAAGCGUGGGGAGCAAAACAGGAUUAGAUACCCUGGUAGUCCACGCUGUAAAACGAUGUCGAUUUGGAGGUUGUGCCCUUGAGGCGUGGCUUCCGGAGCUAACGCGUUAAAUCGACCGCCUGGGGAGUACGGCCGCAAGGUUAAAAACUU
rnacentral:rRNA from 1 species